rnacentral:rRNA from 1 species
AUUGAACGCUGGCGGCAUGCCUUACACAUGCAAGUCGAACGGCAGCGGGGACUUCGGUCCGCCGGCGAGUGGCGAACGGGUGAGUAAUGUAUCGGAACGUACCAUUGAGUGGGGGAUAACGUAGCGAAAGUUACGCUAAUACCGCAUAUUCUCUCCGGAGGAAAGCAGGGGACCGCAAGGCCUUGCGCUCUUUGAGCGGCCGAUAUCAGAUUAGCUAGUUGGUGAGGUAAAGGCUCACCAAGGCGACGAUCUGUAGCGGGUCUGAGAGGAUGAUCCGCCACACGGGAACUGAGACACGGUCCAGACUCCUACGGGAGGCAGCAGUGGGGAAUUUUGGACAAUGGGGGCAACCCUGAUCCAGCCAUGCCGCGUGAGUGAAGAAGGCCUUCGGGUUGUAAAGCUCUUUCAGCCGGGAAAAAAUCGCAUGGGCUAAUACCCUGUGUGGAUGAUGGUACCGGAAUAAGAAGCACCGGCUAACUACGUGCCAGCCGCCGCUGUAAUAC